AGAUAUUGUAGGUUGUGUUGGGAUACAUAAUUUUGUAUAUAUAAGAUGAUAUACAGUAAGUUUAUUUCAUCGUAAUAUCAAAAGUUCAACGUAAUAUCAAAAGUUCAAAUGGCGUGUUCUAUUAAAUCUCGUUCCUACCCACCUUGUAUCAGUUGUGGUUGCAUGGAUGCUUCAUGCUGCAACGGAGGUAAGUUUAAGUGGCCUGAAGUGGUAGGUAUGAAGGGACAACAGGCUAAAAGUAAGAUUGAAAAAGAUGUAUCUUUUGUGACUGUUAUACUUUUAGCACCUGGAACAAUUAGAAUUGACAAUUUCUGUUGUAAUCGUGUUUUUGUUUACCUCGAUGAUAAUGGAAAAGUCAAUCAAAUCCCAAUCAUUGGUUGACUUUAUGAGGUCCAUUAUGUUACGUUAUGUUUAAUUACCACAUGAUCAUAUCUUUUUGUACUGAUGAAGUUAAAUCUUCAAUAAAAUUUAAAUUCUAAAGCUUAA